AUUGAACGCUGGCGGCAGGCCUAACACAUGCAAGUCGAGCGAGCGGCGGACGGGUGAGUAAUGUCUAGGAAACUGUCUGAUGGAGGGGGAGAACUACGCGAAACGGUAGCUAAAAUCGCAUACCAUCAGAUGUGCCCAGAUGGGAUUUGCUAGAAGGUGGGGUAAUGGCUCACCUAGGCGACGUGCGCUAGCUGAGCUGAGAGGAUGAACAGCCAGACUGGGAUGGAGACACGGCCCAGACUCCGACGGGAGGCAUCAGUGGGGAAUAUUGCACAAUGGGCGAAAGCCUGAUGCAGCCAUGCCGCGUGUGUGAAGAAGGCCUUCGGGUUGUAAAGCACUUUCAGCGGGGAGGCGUUACCCGAAGAAGAAGCACCGGCUAACUCCGUGCCAGCCGCCGCGGUAAUAC
rnacentral:rRNA from 1 species